CUGCCCGUAGCUCAGUUGGAUAGAGCAUCAGCCUUCUAAGCUGAGGGUCACAGGUUCGAUUCCUGUCGGGCAGGCCA
rnacentral:tRNA from 4 species